UUUCGAUGGUUCCAUGAUAGAGAGGG
rnacentral:piRNA from 1 species